rnacentral:rRNA from 1 species
CGUGCGCAGGCGGUUUGGUUAAGAACUGUCGUGAAUACCCGGGCCGUCAACCUCGGGAAUGGCGAUGGUGACUGCAAGGCUAGAGUUUGGCAGAGGGGGGUAGAAUUCCACGUGUAGCAGUGAAAUGCGUAGAUAUGUGGAGGAACACCGAUGGCGAAGGCAGCCCCCUGGGUCAAAACUGACGCUCAUGCACGAAAGCGUGGGGAGCAAACAGGAUUAGAUACCCUGGU